UGUUGUUAUGGAUUAAGCUCCUUAUUUAAUUUAAGUAUCGACUGAUGCACAAAAGAAUGUUUCAGUCUGACCUUAUUAUACCAUGGAACACUGUAUCAACGUCCAGAUGGAAAAAGGACAUAUUCACUGCUUGGAACAUGGUUAGUCUCAGAGAUGAUGUUUUUGCCAGCCUUAUUGUGUUGUUGUGAUAAGAGGUCUCAUACAGACCCUCUAAAGGCUGACCAACAAUUUUUGAACAGAUUUUUAACAAUAUUAUAAUGUUCAUUUUUUAAAUGAACAAAAACGUG